UGUAAAUAUAAUAAUAAAAAAACAUUUCGGCUUUGCCACGCCCUAUAUACACAAAAUGCAGCGAUUCGUCGCAGCGUUACAUUUGCAUCUACGCAUAAUGAGAUGGGGCACCAUGGCACACUUCAUGGAAGGACAACAGCGCGAAUCGGAGCCAUGCAGUGUGCAUGAGUGCAGUACUACCAACAGCUGUUCCUGCAAAUCGUGAAUAUCGUGAAGCAUCUGGAACGCAACUAUUAUUUCGUACCUUGGUCGUUUACGCAACAUACCUGAAGAGCUGGAACAAAGAUAUAAAUCACAGGGAUUGAUCCGGCCCAAUAAAUAUGCAGGGAAAACUUUUGCUUUUUGUCGCAGGCGAAUAGAGAAAAUCUACUUUCCUCAAAGAGAUGCGUAUAAUACGCGGCAUUAUUUAUGAACUCGAACUUAUUCCAGAAUACAAAUAAGUGAUAUAUCAAAAUGUAUUACGAGGAAAGCACGUAUUGAUUGAUGCUCGUCAAAAACUGGGAAUCCCAUAGGGAAACACCGAACAAGAAACAAUGCGAAAUAGGCGAAAUUAAUUGAAUGUAGUAAAGUGGAAAUCGACAAUUUCAUACAGUGGGCUCCAUAUAUUCGUAGACUAUGGC